rnacentral:rRNA from 1 species
UAGGAUGAACGCUAGCUACAGGCUUAACACAUGCAAGUCGAGGGGCAGCAUGGUCUUAGCUUGCUAAGGCCGAUGGCGACCGGCGCACGGGUGAGUAACGCGUAUCCAACCUGCCGUCUACUCUUGGACAGCCUUCUGAAAGGAAGAUUAAUACAAGAUGGCAUCAUGAGUCCACAUGUUCACAUGAUUAAAGGUAUUCCGGUAGACGAUGGGGAUGCGUUCCAUUAGAUAGUAGGCGGGGUAACGGCCCACCUAGUCUUCGAUGGAUAGGGGUUCUGAGAGGAAGGUCCCCCACAUUGGAACUGAGACACGGUCCAAACUCCUACGGGAGGCAGCAGUGAGGAAUAUUGGUCAAUGGGCGAGAGCCUGAACCAGCCAAGUAGCGUGGAGGAUGACUGCCCUAUGGGUUGUAAACUUCUUUUAUAAAGGAAUAAAGUCGGGUAUGGAUACCCGUUUGCAUGUACUUUAUGAAUAAGGAUCGGCUAACUCCGUGCCAGCAGCCGCGGUAAUACGGAGGAUCCGAGCGUUAUCCGGAUUUAUUGGGUUUAAAGGGGGUGUAGAUGGAUGUUUAAGUCAGUUGUGAAAGUUUGCGGCUCAACCGUAAAAUUGCAGUUGAUACUGGAUAUCUUGAGUGCAGUUGAGGCAGGCGGAAUUCGUGGUGUAGCGGUGAAAUGCUUAGAUAUCACGAAGAACUCCGAUUGCGAAGGCAGCCUGCUAAGCUGCAACUGACAUUGAGGCUCGAAAGUGUGGGUAUCAAACAGGAUUAGAUACCCUGGUAGUCCACACGGUAAACGAUGAAUACUCGCUGUUUGCGAUAUACGGCAAGCGGCCAAGCGAAAGCGUUAAGUAUUCCACCUGGGGAGUACGCCGGCAACGGUGAAACUCAAAGGAAUUGACGGGGGCCCGCACAAGCGGAGGAACAUGUGGUUUAAUUCGAUGAUACGCGAGGAACCUUACCCGGGCUUAAAUUGCAGAUGAAUUACGGUGAAAGCCGUAAGCCGCAAGGCAUCUGUGAAGGUGCUGCAUGGUUGUCGUCAGCUCGUGCCGUGAGGUGUCGGCUUAAGUGCCAUAACGAGCGCAACCCUUGUUGUCAGUUACUAACAGGUUCUGCUGAGGACUCUGACAAGACUGCCAUCGUAAGAUGUGAGGAAGGUGGGGAUGACGUCAAAUCAGCACGGCCCUUACGUCCGGGGCUACACACGUGUUACAAUGGGGGGUACAGAGGGCCGCUACCACGCGAGUGGAUGCCAAUCCCAAAAACCUCUCUCAGUUCGGACUGGAGUCUGCAACCCGACUCCACGAAGCUGGAUUCGCUAGUAAUCGCGCAUCAGCCACGGCGCGGCGAAUACGUUCCCGGGCCUUGUACACACCGCCCGUCAAGCCAUGGGAGCCGGGGGUACAAGGGGUGCGUAACCGCGAGGAGCGCCC